rnacentral:tRNA from 1 species
UGGCCCGUAGUGUAACGGUAGCACCCCAGUUUUUGGUACUGGUAGUCCAGGUUCAAAUCCUGGCGGGCCAG